rnacentral:lncRNA from 1 species
UCUGAUAGCGCCACAUAUGGUUAGCAUGAAGGAUCGUGUGGUUAUGAUUCAUGAAUUCAUUUUUCCAUCCUAUAACUUUUUCUAAUAAUAUAAUAACACACCCCUAUUCUCCCUCCUUACACCAUUCCUUAUUUCUCAUGAUCAGAUUAGAAAGGGUUUAGGGUUUUGGCACCUCCACAACUAAUUAGAAGUUUCCCUU